GCCUCUUUAACUCAGUGGUAGAGUGUCAGUCUUCUAAACUGGAGGUCGUGAGUUCGAACCUCACAAGAGGCU